UACGAAGGGGGGCUAGCGUUGCUCGGAAUCACUGGGCGUAAAGCGCGCGUAGGCGGAUCGUUAAGUCGGGGGUGAAAUCCUGGAGCUCAACUCCAGAACUGCCUUUGAUACUGGCGAUCUUGAGUCCGGGAGAGGUGAGUGGAACUCCGAGUGUAGAGGUGAAAUUCGUAGAUAUUGGGAAGAACACCAGUGGCGAAGGCGGCUCACUGGCCCGUAACUGACGCUGAGGUGCGAAAAGCGUGGGGGAGCAAACAGG
rnacentral:rRNA from 1 species